AAUUAAGGAAGUUGCAGUUUUAAAACUAUUCUAAAAAUAUUCUAACUUACUAAAACGUGUUUUCAUUGAUUUGCUUCGUGAAAAAUCAAAAACAAAACGAUUUUGAAUGUUCUUCUUCACCAAUCUAUGAUUUCCCCAUGAUUUCUCUAUAGUUUGUUUUGUGAUUUUCACAAACUCUUGUUCUAUAAUGCGUAUCUAUACAACAUGUGGUGUUUGAGAGUUUGGCGCAACCACAGAGAGGCGGCAAGAGGCGGAGAGAGGCGGCGAGAGGCGGAGAGAGGCGGCGAGAGGCGGAGAGAGGCGGCGAGAGGCGGAGAGAGGCGGCGAGAGGCGGAGAGAGGCGGCGAGAGGCGGAGAGAGGCGGCGAGAGGCGGAGAGAGGCCAAGCGGGGAGAGGCGGAGAGAAGCGGAGAGAGGCGGAGAGAAGCGGAGAGGCGGAGAGAGGCGGCGAGAGGCGGAGAGAGGCGAGAGAAGCACUGAAAUCUCCUUUGCGUUUGUCUAGAGAGAAAGAGAUCCAGAGAAAAGUAUUAGAACAAGAAGAAGAAAGGAACAAACUUUAUGACUGAAAUUGGAUGGAGAACUUUGGUGUUUACCUUCGGUGUGUAGGAGAAGAGAAAGGGGUUCCACCGGUGGCUGCAGUCGUCGUUGAUUUCACCGGAGAAAACACAAAGGAGAAGACACAAUCGCCAUCUUGCUCGCCGUGGAAGAGAGAGUCGGAGAGAUCGAUGUUAGGGUUACGGAAGUUAGGGAAAGUUAAAUGUUUAGAUCUCAUUUUCUUUUUUUUUUUAAUUUUUUUUUCCCUUUUGGCAACUAUAUUAA
rnacentral:lncRNA from 1 species